UCUCUCUCUCUCUCUCUCUCUCUCUCUGUAUGUGUGUGUAUGUGUGAGAGAGAGAGAGCGAGAGAGAGAGAGA